rnacentral:rRNA from 1 species
GGAAUUUUUGGCAAUGGGCGCAAGCCUGACCAAGCAACGCCGCGUGGAUGAUGAAGUAUUUCGGUACGUAAAAUCCUUUCGACGGGGACGAAACCGCAAGGUUGACGGUACCCGUAGAAGAAGCCCCGGCUAACUCCGUGACAGCAGCCGCGGUAACACGGGGGGGGCAAGCGUUGUUCGGAAUUACUGGGCGUAAAGGGCGCGUAGGCGGCUCGCUAAGUCGGGUGUGAAAACUCUGGGCUCAACCCAGAGCCUGCAUUCGAAACUGACGGGCUACAGUUCUGGAGGGGAAGGCGGAAUUCCUGGUGUAGCGGUGAAAUGCGUAGAUAUCAGGAGGAACACCGGUGGCGAAGGCGGCUUUCUGGACAGAAACUGACGCUGAGGCGCGAAAGCUAGGGGAGCAAA